CUCAGACCCUCAGACCCAAUUUAUCUCUUCUCUGCUUCCUCAUCCUCUUCUCUAACCUAACUGCGCGGCGCCUCUUUAUUUCUUCUUCAUCUUCCUCUCUUCUCCUCUAUUAUGAGCGAAGCUUUUGGCAGAUUUCCCCUAAAUUAGUUUCUUUAUUUCGUUGGUUUGUUUUUCAAUCGUAUUAUUCAGAGUUUAUAAAAAUUGAAGAGGGAGUUAUUGAGUUUUCUUGCUCUUCAGAGUUUAUACGACUGAAUAUUACCAAACCCUAACCCUGAAUCACUCAGAACGCACGCACAGUUUUACCUGUUUUCAUUACCUUCUCAACCCAUAGUUGUUCAUACGGUAUCACGAACCUAAUUUUCGUUUUACCUUCUGAAACCCUACUUUGAUUUUGUUUUAUUUCCGUAGAAGUAGAAGAAACGGCAUAUCGAUUUACUAUUGAUGGGCCAAACCUAUCGCUACACUUUAAUGCUUGAUAAAGUGAUCUCUCUUCCUCCAUCAAGCUCUCUUUCUCCAUCUCGAAGGUUUGAUUUCUUACUUUCUUCCCAUCUUGUAUGUUUUGGUGUUGUGUUGUUGAGUUCUAGGUCUAGUUUCUCAAUUCUCUUAUCAUCAGCAUUAGACUUGUUUUACUUCGGUUAGAAAUGGAUGAAUGCAGUUAAAUCGAAACCCAGGGUUCUAUUUUGAAGUUAUUUUUAAGGUUUUAUUUUCUUUGUUUUUAGUUAAUUUAUCAGGUUAAGGAAAUUUUCAUAUUGAUGUAUAUGUAAAUUGGUAUAUGUAAAUUGGUAAAUCUUGGAUUGGGAUUUGAAAAUCCAUAACAGAUCUCAGUUCUCCUGUUUUUGGUUGAAGCGAGGACUACUAUUUAUAAUGUUUCCAUUUAAUGUGCUUAAAUAUAAUUAGUGGAACUUGAUUGGUGCUAUGUUCUAUGGUUAGUGUGUGCUCGGUUCUCAUGUUAUUCUAAAUUGAAGUUCUGUUCUUAGUGGAACAUGAAAUUUGUUUAACAAAUCUGAAAUUUGAGUGUCUUUUAUAUGUCAAAGGUGCUACCAUUGUUGGAGAAUUUAUAGAUUUUUUAAUGGGUGUGAUUGGUCUGCAGCUAUAGUUGGCUUCCGUUGAUGUGCAGGCAUUAGUGAAAGAGGCAUAUGAUCUGGAUCCUUCAGCAUGGAAGUGUUUGGGCACCGACGCUGUUACCAUGAUAUUUGGCGCUGAUCGAACGGGUUACAUACGUGGAACUCGUGUUUCAAAAAUAUAUAAAGGCCCAGUUGCAGGAAGUGACAAUGUGCGGAAAGAGAAGUAGAAAAACGAAUCUUUAGAAGCGCAGUUGGAUAUGCUGAUAGACAGAAAUACAAUACUGGAGUACGUGAUCAUAUCCCUAAUAGAUCUUAUCAGCAGGAUACUGGAAUCCCAGCAACAACAUUGACGUUUGGUCUCUGAUUUUGAGGAACUUAAGGAAAAGACUGGCAGCAUCUGUAUAUGUUGAUGGUGAAAAGCUGUGAUUGAUGGCAACUAUGAAUGCAUAAUGGAUGAAAUCAUUGAUCCAAGGGCGAUGUUAUGCGAUAGAGAUGAUGUAUUAGUUGGGGAUGUUUCAAGUGGUGACAUGAUAACUGGCCAAAAGCUUAUGUAAAUUAGAGUGGCAAGGCGGAUGUAGAUUGAAUUCAGUUCUAAUUUCCAGUAUGUAUUAUUUAUCUUUGGAUUUGUAUUUGUAUUUGAAGAUUUUGUUUUCUUCGAUGUCAUGUUGGAUAAUUAAUAAAAUCAAUUUCACAUUCAACUGAAA